rnacentral:rRNA from 1 species
CUACGGGUCGCUGCAAUGGGGAAUAUUGCACAAUGGGCGCAAGCCUGAUGCAGCCAUGCCGCGUGUAUGAAGAAGGCCUUCGGGUUGUAAAGUACUUUCAGCGGGGAGGAAGGGAGUAAAGUUAAUACCUUUGCUCAUUGACGUUACCCGCAGAAGAAGCACCGGCUAACUCCGUGCCAGCAGCCGCGGUAAUACGGAGGGUGCGAAGCGUUAAUCGGAAUUACUGGGCGUAAAGCGCACGCAGGCGGUUUGUUAAGUCAGAUGUGAAAUCCCCGGGCUCAACCUGGGAACUGCAUCUGAGACUGGCAAGCUUGAGUCUCGUAGAGGGGGGUAGAAUUCCAGGUGUAGCGGUGAAAUGCGUAGAGAUCUGGAGGAAUACCGGUGGCGAAGGCGGCCCCCUGGACGAAGACUGACGCUCAGGUGCGAAAGCGUGGGGAGCAAACAGGAUUAGAUACCCUCGUAGUC